GUUUAAUUAGUUUAAAAAUUUAAAAUAAUAAAUUGUGGAUUUAUAGAUAUGUUAAUAUUAAACA
rnacentral:tRNA from 1 species